UACGUAGGGUGCGAGCGUUGUCCGGAAUUAUUGGGCGUAAAGAGCUCGUAGGCGGUGUGUCACGUCGUUCGUGAAAAACCUGCAGCUUAACUGUGGGCGUGCGGUCGAUACGGGCAUCACUGGAGUUCGGCAGGGGAGACUGGAAUUCCUGGUGUAGCGGUGAAAUGCGCAGAUAUCAGGAGGAACACCGGUGGCGAAGGCGGGUCUCUGGGCCGAUACUGACGCUGAGGAGCGAAAGCGUGGGGGAGCAAACAGG
rnacentral:rRNA from 1 species